GGCCGGAUAAGGCGUUCACGCCGCAUCCGGCAACCAGCGCCUGAUGCGCCGCUGUCGCGUCUUAUCAGGCC
rnacentral:ncRNA from 1 species